rnacentral:pre_miRNA from 1 species
UUAACACAAAUUUAUAUGCAGCUGGAACAGCGCCCCUAGCGGCAAACGUAGGCAAACGUUCUAACUCCAUACAAAUUUAAGUUA